GGCCCCGCGGGGAGCGGCGGCGGCGGCGGCGGCGGCGGCGGCGGCGGUUUUGGCCCGAACCGCGACUUCAACAAAAAAUAAGAGAAGAAAGGAAUAUUUUCUAGCUGUGCAAAUCCUCUCCCUAGAGGAAAAAAUUAAGGUGAAAAGCACUGAAGUUGAGAUCCUAGAGAAGUCUCAAAUUGAAGCCAUUGCUUCCUCGUUAGGGAACGCGAAUCCCCUGAGCUGAAGGAGAAGGAAAAAUGGAUCUGCUUUCUUAAACCUUUCCAGAAUUUGCCCCUAGAACCACUCCUAUUCUUGACGCCCAGAAUGGUCAGUGGUGAGCAUCAAGGUCAUCUCGUACCCCCGUGGCCUCCAGUACACAAGACGAGGAAGGACUUUGCUGCCAUAAGGGGGGAGGCCCUCCUUUUUCCUUUCCUCUUCCUGUAGUAAGACUUCCUGUGGUACUGUCGCUGCCUGGCCAGUCUGGUCUCAGCCCAAGGUUUGAGAAGCAGUUGGUUGUGUGUUUAAAAUUCCAGAGCAGAGCCCAAGGGAGAGAACGGGUGGCCUGGCACCGGGGUUGGUGGCACCCAUUGUUUGAGGCACUGUCAUGGGGGGCACGAGGCAGGUCGGAAGUGGAGCUCUCGGCUUCCCAUCCAUCCGGGUGCGCUUUCUCCCAGGCCUUCAGUUUAGCACCCACCUCCUUUGCACACUGUGGGUGAGAAAAGCUUUGCCUGAGCCCAGCCGGGGACUGGUCAUGCACACACGACAAGUGAGGAGCACUGGUGACUGCCUGCCCCCUAGCCACAGUUGUGCAAACCCAAACCUGCCAGCCUUCCUUCUCAAAGUGGAACUGUUUAUCCCAUUUGCAAAUAAUUGUUUCUCUUGUGAAAAGAUGGACCGGAAUUCCUUCCAAUGAUGUUUAUAAAAUCAGGUCUAUUUUCCUGUGUCUUCCGAAAAACAGCUCUUGUUUAAAGCAGGAUCCAUCUCUGCAUAACUUAGGCAGGGCUGACCAUCAUCUUGGAUGGCGUCGUCCUUGUUGGCGCAGAUUGUGUUGGGGGGCUGGUUGUUUGUGGGUGCCUUUAAUAUUCAAAGGGGAGAAUACUGUUCUGAUUGAGGCAUUAUGCCCGCUGAGUUGUGAUAUUACAUCCAUCAUCUUGUUCAAAUAAAUAGCGCCGUAUCUAUAUGUUGGAAUGAAUAAAUAAAAGUGCUGCAGCAGGGAGGUUGGGCUGGAAACCAGAGGCCCACGAUGCUCUUUGCUGGCUUUGAAAUGCCCUUGCAAAGAAGUAUUGAAAAUUUACCAGCCCACAAUGAGUCUUUUAAAUCUCCUAUUCCUUGCUACCACCGACCCCCGCACCAACCAAGAAUACGUUGCCAGCAGAGUUCUUUAUUUAGUUGGCAUUGGUUUUUAUUGACCCUGAUUGAAUUUGAAAUUGUAAGGCUGAGAGAGGAUUUGCAAAACAUUUGAAUACAUUUUGCUCACGGUAUUGUUUUGUAACUUGGAGGAAUUUAUCUUUUUAGCCAAUCAGGUU
rnacentral:sRNA from 1 species